UCAGUUCGGUGAGUUUGGUAUAUUUUCUGUUUCAUGAAAACUAAAUUUUUAGUAGAAGAAUUUUGUCAAUAGUUUGUCAUAUUGUUUUAAACGUGCAAUGAGAGAGAAAAUGGUCGCCAACAAAGUUUUAAUCUCCCUCAGAAAGUAAGCUAACAUUACACAGAUGCCUACCGCUGCUUUAACUCGCUUUACACCUUUAUUAAUGAAUAUAGGGUUGUUUUAACUAAAUUAUGACGGUUUUGGUGAGUUUAUAUUUGUUGAAAGUGUGGUAACAAUGAAACUAUUUUUAACAAAAUGGACAAAGACCACCCGCCAGCGCGGUCUUGCGGUCCCAGCAUAUGGUCGUUUAUCUCGGUGUUUUAUCUGUUCAGUUAGCGGUAGAGAGAAGUAUUAAGUUCGACUGUUUGGCAAGGCUGACUCGUAGAUUAACGUUAGCUGUGCACGUGAAAAAGCACAGUUUCAUAUUCAUAUUCACAUUAAUCUGUAUUUGCGUCUUUUUCAAAUAUGAAAAGUUGGAUAUAAGAAUAUCAACAUAAACAGACAGGACUCGACACGCCGUAAACUUAAUAUUCAACACAGACCGUAGUAAUCAACUCCUCAACAGAAGUGAAACCAAGAAACCUCAUAUUUAACUGGAUAUAUGCAUUGCAGUUGUAACUGCGGCCAAAUAUCGUUCAGACCUGGGCUCAUCUUAUUAUCAGAUGAUUGCUGCGCGCUUAUUGUUAUCAUUACGGUAUAUUAGCAAAACCAAAGCAUAUUUUCUUUAAAGCGUUUUACACGCCCAAUAAGUUGUCCGAUACAUUUUGUAUGGCAUAUUAUUUCCACCACUUCAGAUGUAUUACAUGCAAUAUAAGUUUCCAAAACACCUCAAAUCAAUGCACAAAAGGAGGAUGGGCUCCGCAUUUACGUAAUAGCAUGACAGGUACCUUCUUCUCGUCUGUCAUCUGAUUCUUCAUCUCUGGAUGUAAAAUAGUCCAUUAUAACAUCGUGUAGGACACUGGCAUCAACAGGAUUGCUCAAAUUGCGGCGAUCAUGUUAAUCCUUAAAGUGAGCAACUUUGUAAAAAAAAACUUUGCGUGAAAUAGUGUGUUACACCGCCGCCUGUCCGGGUGAAACAUUAAAGAGGCAGGCUUGUUACCUUGUCACUAUAAAUCGCUAUUUCCUCACUAAAUAUAUUUUCAGAGAUUUUCUGUAGACAAGAUGUUAGAAUAAUAAUUUAAUAAAAACCCAAUUCUGACAAAAGUUACAUUUGACUUAUUUAGUUACUUUUCUGAAAAUCUUAUUCCACUGGUAUGCAUCAUAUUAAACAGAAUGCUUUCAAAAUGUCAGCCAGUAACACAUCAUAUCUUUUUUUUUUACAGCUCUAACGUUACAGUUUGCUCCACUUUGCUCUGUGGUUUAUAUGUUUUCUUCUUACCAUUGCUUGUAAGCUGGAUUGAGUAAGAUGGAUCAUCUUUAAAGGAACCAGGAGUUAAGGCAGAUGUGGAGGCACACGGGUGACACCAGACACACACCAAGCACAUUGUUCGGACAUUCAAUCAUGACAUGAUCCAUGUGGAUGCUGUCCAUUGAGGAAAGAGUUUGUUCAGAGGUUUCUGGACAGAAUUAAUCCCAAAGAUGGGAAAAAGUGCACAUCCACACAAGGAGCAAGCAAAAAGACAAGGAACUUGGUGCAGAGAAAAGCUGUGGCCAUUAACCCCCAUGUGAACAGCUUCAUGCAUCCCUGAUAGAGUUCGAAUGGGCGACUUCAAACUAAAGGCCAGUGUCAGUCUGCCACAGUUUAAUGCAUUUAUUUUUAGUGUUCAAUAAAAUUCAAAUAGAAUAUUUAAAACUAUGGGCCAGUGUUCUUUUUACCACAGUGAAAUGUUACCUUUUAGUCGAUGAUGGACUUUAAACUGAAAACUUCAAACUAUGGACCAGUGUUCUAUUUGCCAGAGUUAAAUAUAUUACAGCAGGGGCCUCCAAACUUGUUUAUACUUUAUAAUAUUUUAUUUUAUUUUACUUGUUUA